GAUGAACGCUGGCGGCGUGCUUAACACAUGCAAGUCGAACGGAAAGGCGCAAGCUUGCUUGGAUACUCGAGUGGCGAACGGGUGAGUAACACGUGGGUGAUCUGCCCUGCACUUCGGGAUAACGCUGGGAAACUGGGUAUCGUACCGGAUAUGAGCACAUUAUGGGUGGUGUGGUGGACAGUGUUUCGGUGUGGGCUGAGCUCGCGGCCUAUGAGCUUGUUGGUGGGGUAAUGGGCUACGAAGGCGCCGGCCGGCAGCCGGCCUGAGAGAGUGUACGGCGACAUUGGGACUGAGAGACGGCACAGACUCCGACGGGAGGCAGCAGGGGGGAAUAUUGCACAAUGGGCGCAAGCCGGAUGCAGCGAGGCCGCGUGGGGGAUGACGGUCUUCGGGUUGUAAACUACUUUCGCGAGAGACGAAGCGGUAUGUGACGGUACCGUGAGAAGAAGCACCGGCUAACUACGUG
rnacentral:rRNA from 1 species